rnacentral:tmRNA from 1 species
GGGGACGUACUGGUCUCGACGGGGUAGCUGAGACCGGGAAAGCGGGUGGAGGAUUCUCGUUGUGCCUCCUUAAAAAACGGGAACGCAAGUAAUUGCAAACGACACACAGCUCGUAGCUGCUUGAUAUAGCUACCGUCUGACUGUUAUAUCUGCGUAACGGUUAUAGACGCGAUCUGCAGACCUUACCUGUUAGAGGAUAAACGGGACAACCUCAGCGCAUAAGCUUUGCUGUGCUGUUGUACUUAUGAAGCUACCGGAUGCAUCUCCUGUCAGUGGGGUCAAUGCAAAGGGGAAUACUUCAAACACUGACUGCACCCGGAGAUGUCCCGGAGGAUUCUGUUCCGGACAGGGGUUCAAUUCCCCUCGUCUCCACCA